AACGUAGGAGGCGAGCGUUAUCCGGAUUUACUGGGCGUAAAGCGCGUGCAGGCGGAUCGGAAAGUUGGAUGUGAAAGCUCCCGGCUUAACUGGGAGAGGUCGUUCAAAACUACCGGUCUAGAGGACGAUAGAGGGAAGCGGAAUUCCGGGUGUAGUGGUGAAAUGCGUAGAUAUCCGGAGGAACACCAGUGGCGAAAGCGGCUUUCUGGAUCGUAUCUGACGCUCAUACGCGAAAGCUAGGGUAG
rnacentral:rRNA from 1 species